rnacentral:rRNA from 1 species
ACGGCUCAGUAACACGUGGACAACCUACCCUUAGGUCGGGGAUAAACCCGGGAAACUGGGUAUAAUACCCGAUAGAUCUCGACUGCUGGAAUGCAUCGAGAUCGAAAGCUCCGGUGCCUAAGGAUGGGUCUGCGGCCUAUCAGGUAGUAGUGGGUGUAGCGUACCUACUAGCCUACGACGGGUACGGGUUGUGAGAGCAAGAGCCCGGAGAUGGAUUCUGAGACACGAAUCCAGGCCCUACGGGGUGCAGCAGGCGCGAAAACUUUACAAUGCCGGCAACGGCGAUAAGGGAACCUCGAGUGCCAGGUUAUAAAUCUGGCUGUCGUGAUGCCUAAAAAGCAUUGCAUAGCAAGGGCCGGGCAAGACCGGUGCCAGCCGCCGCGGUAACACCGGCGGCUCGAGUGGUAACCGUUAUUAUUGGGUCUAAAGGGUCUGUAGCCGGCCGGAUAAGUCUCUUGGGAAAUCCAGCAGCUCAACUGUUGGGCUUUCAGGAGAUACUGUCUGGCUCGAGGCCGGGAGAGGUGAGAGGUACUUCAGGGGUAGGGGUGAAAUCUUGUAAUCCUUGAAGGACCACCAGUGGCGAAGGCGUCUCACCAGAACGGACCUGACGGCAAGGGACGAAAGCUAGGGGCACGAACCGGAUUAGAUACCCGGGUAGUCCUAGCCGUAAACGAUACUCGCUAGGUGUCGGCCACGGUGCGACCGUGGUCGGUGCCGUAGGGAAGCCGUGAAGCGAGCCACCUGGGAAGUACGGCCGCAAGGCUGAAACUUAAAGGAAUUGGCGGGGGAGCAC